GCCACAGCUCAGUGGUAGAACAUCUGCUUUGAAUGCAGAAAGAAGGUCUCAGGUUCAAUUCCUGGUAUCUCUG